AAUUCCUUUCGACAGAUGUUGUAAAAUACUGUCGUCUACAGAAGUUUUGUUGCACAAAAGGGAAAAGCUUCUGAUAGCAUGGCAAGCAUUUCUCCAAUUGGAUUGCUUUCUCCCAAUAACUAUUCUUAUAGAAUCUGGGAAGAUCCAUCAUUUAUUAAGUGGAGAAAACGUGAUGCACAUGUUCCUCUUCACUCACAUGAUACGGUUGAAGGUUCUCUUAGAUAUUGGUAUGAACGAAGCAAAGUUGAUUUUCUAAAUGCAAACUUGGCUCUCUGGCAUGAUGAUGCUGUUUUUGGUGCUUUGGAGAGUGCUGCUUUUUGGGUCAAAGGAUUACCUUUUGUGAAAUCUUUAAGUGGGCACUGGAAGUUCUUCUUAGCUACUUCUCCCGAAAGUGUUCCUGUGAACUUCUAUGCUAUUACUUUUGAUGAUUCAGACUGGGUAACACUGCCAGUUCCAUCAAAUUGGCAAAUGCAUGGUUUUGAUCGCCCCAUUUAUACAAAUAUUAUUUACCCUUUCCCUAUGAAUCCUCCAUAUGUUCCUUCAGAUAACCCAACUGGAUGUUAUCGUAAAAGUUUUCGUAUUCCGAAAGAAUGGAAAGGUCGGAGAAUACUGCUGCAUUUUGAGGCUGUUGAUUCUGCCUUUUUUGUUUGGGUGAAUGGUGUUCUUAUCGGGUAUAGCCAGGAUAGCAGACUUCCAGCUGAGUUUGAAAUUACUGAUCACUGCUACCCUUUUGAUUCGGACAAGGAUAAUGUUCUCUCUGUUCAAGUCAUGAGAUGGAGCGAUGGUUCAUAUUUGGAAGAUCAAGACCAUUGGUGGUUGUCUGGUAUUCACCGGGAUGUACUUCUUCUAUCAAAGCCCCAGGUAUUUAUUACAGAUUACUUUUUCAAGUCAACUCUGGACCAAAAUUUUCUCACAGCUGAUCUUCAGGUUGAAGUAAAACUUGAUCUCUGGCAGAACUGUGAAAAUGUUAGUCUUUCCAACAUAACCAUGGAAGCAACAUUGUAUGACAAUUCUGGAUGGUCUACCAGUGGAAAAGAUAAUGAAGAAAUGGAUCUAAGUUCAUAUGAUGUUUUGCAUUUGAAUCUGAGACCACCUCCAACUGGAAGUCUUGGGUCCCAUUUCUAUUUGCUUGAGGGUAAAUUAGAGAAACCAAGACUUUGGUCGAGUGAGCAUCCAAAUUUGUAUACUCUUGUUCUUGUGCUCAAAGAUUCCUCUGGGAACAUACUUGACUGUGAAUCAUGUCAAGUAGGCAUAAGGCAAAUAUCUCAAGCUCCAAAACAAUUGCUUGUUAAUGGCCAACCUGUGGUUAUUCGAGGUGUGAAUAGACAUGAGCAUCAUCCACGUACUGGAAAGGCAGCUCUGGAAGCAUGCAUGAUCAAGGAUCUGGUUGUGAUGAAACAAAAUAAUAUCAAUGCUGUGAGAAAUAGUCAUUACCCUCAACAUCCCAGGUGGUAUGAGCUGUGUGACCUUUUUGGGGUUUACAUGAUCGAUGAAGCAAAUAUCGAGACACAUGGAUUUGAUUUAUCUAGUACUUUUAAGCACCCAACACAAGAAUCUAGAUGGGCAAGUUCUAUGUUAGAUCGUGUAAUUGGCAUGGUGGAGAGGGACAAAAACCAUGCAUGCAUCAUAUCAUGGUCUCUGGGGAAUGAAUCUGGAUAUGGUCCUAAUCAUUGUGCCAUGGCAGGUUGGAUUAGGGAGAAGGAUUCAUCAAGACUCUUGCAUUAUGAAGGUGGUGGUUCUAGGACUUCAUCAACAGAUAUCAUUUGCCCCAUGUACAUGCGUGUAUGGGACAUUUUGAAAAUUGCUAAAGACCCAAAUGAAAGUCGGCCCUUGAUUCUUUGCGAGUACUCACAUGCUAUGGGAAAUAGUAAUGGAAAUAUUCACAAAUACUGGGAGGCUAUUAAUGGAACAUUUGGACUUCAAGGUGGUUUCAUAUGGGAUUGGGUUGACCAGGGUUUACUGAAAGUUGAUGUUGAUGGAUGUAAACACUGGGCUUAUGGAGGUGACUUUGGAGAUAGUCCCAAUGACUUAAACUUCUGUCUGAAUGGAAUCGUGUGGCCUGAUCGAACUCCCCACCCUGCAAUGCAUGAAGUUAAGUAUCUUUAUCAGCCAAUAAAAAUUGUUUUAGCUGAAACCAAAGUUGAGAUAACUAAUGCACAGUACUUCAACACAACACAAGAAAUAGAAUUCAGUUGGCAUCUUCAUGGAGAUGGAUGCAACCUAGGCUGUGGAACACUUAAUCUUCCAGUAAUACAAGCCCAAGAGAGUUAUGGCAUUGAACAAGAAUCAGCACCAUGGUAUUCUGUUUGGAAAGCAUGCUCAGCUAGAGAAGUAUUUUUGACUAUUAUUGGAAAGCUUAGACAUUCAACCCGGUGGGCAAAAGAUUGCCAUGUCCUAGCUUCUACUCAAUUAAUUUUAUCUGCUAAAGAUGAUUCCAUUCCUCAUGUUGUAAGAUUGAUUUCAGAUUCCAAUUUGAUAUCCAAAAAUGUUGGCAACAUCAUAGCAAUUGAGAAACAGAAUUCCUGGCAAAUCAAACUUAACACCCAGACUGGAACAAUUGAGAGCUGGAAGGUUGGAGAGUGUUCAUUAAUUAAUCAAGGGUUACUUCCCUGCCUAUGGAGAGCACCUACUGACAAUGAUAAGGGAGGAGCCCCCAACAGCUAUCUCUGCAAAUGGAAGGCCGCCUUACUGGAUCGUCUGACAUUCCAUACAGAUGAAUGCUCUGUGAAGGAAUUGACAAGUAAUAUGGUUCAUGUCAAAACUGUAUUUAUAGGUGUUCCAAAGGAUCAAGAAAUCCUGCUGAAAUCCAAAAGCUCUAACCAGGAGUCUGAGGAGCCUAUACAUAUUCAAUGCAAAGUUGAAGUUAAUUAUUACAUCCACAGCACUGGUGAUGUCAUUGUUGAUUAUAUGGUAAAUCCUAAAAAUGAUCUUCCACCUCUUCCACGAGUUGGAGUUGUCUUUCAUUUAGAGAAAUCACUAGAUCAUGUCUCCUGGUAUGGUAAAGGACCAUUUGAGUGCUAUCCUGAUCGAAAAGAAGCUGCUCAUGUUGGCAUAUACGAAAGUAGUGUCCAAGAUUUGCAUGUUCCUUAUAUCUUUCCUGUAGAAUCUUCUGGACGCACAGAUGUAAGAUGGGUAGCCUUUCAAAAUAGCAAUGGAGUUGGUCUCUAUGCUUCUGCUUAUGGUACCUCACCACCUAUGCAAAUGAGUGCAAGUUUCUAUGGAACUGCAGAGCUUGAGAGAGCAACUCACAACCACUACCUAGUCGAAAAGGACUAUGUUGAGGUGCACCUUGACCACAAACACAUGGGUAUAGGUGGUGAUGACAGUUGGUCACCUUGUGUCCACGACGAGUACCUAGUGCCUCCUGUUCCAUACUCAUUCUCCAUAAGAUUGAGUCCGAUCAUUCCUCCAACCACAGGCCAAGAUAUCUACAGAUCUCAGAUCCUCUAGUUAUGCUUUCGGCAAUUCUUCUGCAAAACAACAUAAUAUUGAGGCAGAUGGAGGUCUCACAAUUUGAGACAGUAUAAAUUCGGAUCGGAGACGCAAUGCAUGUGUAAUGAAAUGAAACUUGGUGGACGAUGCAUCGAUGCUGAGUUUGCAUGCCCUGAGUUUCUAGGAGAGGAGAUAAGCUAGCGCACGUCUGGUCUGAUGGUGAGUGGAAGUGCAAUGGUGGUGCUGCUGGCCGCGGCGGCUCUGCUGCUGCUGGUGCUGCCGCUGGUGCUGCCUCCUUUGCCUCCGCCUCCUCCCUUCCUUCUCCUGCUCCCCGUGGCCAUGGUGCUCCUCCUCGCCUUCCUAGCCUUUCUCCCCAACACGCCCACUCCGCCGGAUCACCUACAGUACUACUGAUCAUCAUUAAUUCAUCCCACACCUCCCCAGAGGAUCCAUUAAGCUUUUUACCAUCUUUCUUUUUUGCUAUCUGUUUUUUCUUUUGGUGUCUCGUUCGACAGAUGAAGAACGCCUGUUGAGCUGCGCCAGUGACAGUGCAGGAGAUGAACUUGCAGUGCUUGCUUUCGGAUAAGGCGUCGAUGGCCAAGCCACAGGCUCGUAAUUAGCUGAGCUGAGGGCAGUGCAUGCAGGCGGAGUCCAGCAAUGGAUGCAGCAGGGCAAGUGGGUGCGAGGACUGCAGAGUGCUCACUGGCUGCCUGCAGCUUUAAUCGCCCGUGAAGAAAGAGUGAAACGAGGAGAAGGGAAAUGAAAGAGAAUGAUGAUUCAAUUUGCCUGUUUCAGCUAUCUGAUCAAAUAAAACAGUGAUUUUUCCUUCUACCUGUCAUUUGAUAAGAAUUUAGUUGU